rnacentral:rRNA from 1 species
AUGCCAUGCUUCCAGGAAAAGCCUCUAAGCUUCAGAUAGUCAGGAAUCGUACCCCAAACCGACACAGGUGGUCGGGUAGAGAAUACCAAGGCGCUUGAGAGAACUCGGGUGAAGGAACUAGGCAAAAUGGUACCGUAACUUCGGGAGAAGGUACGCUCUUGAUGGUGAAGUCCCUCGCGGAUGGAGCUGACGAGAGUCGCAGAUACCAGGUGGCUGCAACUGUUUAUUAAAAACACAGCACUGUGCAAAAUCGCAAGAUGACGUAUACGGUGUGACGCCUGCCCGGUGCCGGAAGGUUAAUUGAUGGGGUUAGCGCAAGCGAAGCUCUUGAUCGAAGCCCCGGUAAACGGCGGCCGUAACUAUAACGGUCCUAAGGUAGCGAAAUUCCUUGUCGGGUAAGUUCCGACCUGCACGAAUGGCGUAAUGAUGGCCACGCUGUCUCCACCCGAGACUCAGUGAAAUUGAAAUCGCUGUGAAGAUGCAGUGUACCCGCGGCUAGACGGAAAGACCCCGUGAACCUUUACUACAGCUUGGCACUGAACAUUGAACCUACAUGUGUAGGAUAGGUGGGAGGCUAUGAAGACGUGACGCCAGUUGCGUUGGAGCCGUCCUUGAAAUACCACCCUUGUAUGUUUGAUGUUCUAACUUAGACCCAUUAUCUGGGUUGAGGACAGUGCCUGGUGGGUAGUUUGACUGGGGCGGUCUCCUCCCAAAGAGUAACGGAGGAGCACGAAGGUGGGCUAAUCACGGUUGGACAUCGUGAGGUUAGUGCAAUGGCAUAAGCCCGCUUAACUGCGAGAAUGACGGUUCGAGCAGGUGCGAAAGCAGGUCAUAGUGAUCCGGUGGUUCUGUAUGGAAGGGCCAUCGCUCAACGGAUAAAAGGUACUCCGGGGAUAACAGGCUGAUACCGCCCAAGAGUUCAUAUCGACGGCGGUGUUUGGCACCUCGAUGUCGGCUCAUCACAUCCUGGGGCUGAAGUCGGUCCCAAGGGUAUGGCUGUUCGCCAUUUAAAGUGGUACGCGAGCUGGGUUUAGAACGUCGUGAGACAGUUCGGUCCCUAUCUGCCGUGGGCGUUGGAAGAUUGAAGGGGGCUGCUCCUAGUACGAGAGGACCGGAGUGGACGAACCUCUGGUGUUCGGGUUGUGUCGCCAGACGCAUUGCCCGGUAGCUAAGUUCGGAAUUGAUAAGCGCUGAAAGCAUCUAAGCGCGAAGCGAGCCCUGAGA